AACGAACGCUGGCGGCGUGCCUAACACAUGCAAGUCGAGCGGAGAAAUUAAAGCUUGCUUUAAUUUCUUAGCGGCGGACGGGUGAGUAACACGUGGGCAACCUGCCCUUGAGAGGGGGAUAACACAGAGAAAUUUGUGCUAAUACCGCAUAACAUUUAGACUUCGCCUGGAGUUUAAAUCAAAGGAGUAAUCCGCUCAAGGAUGGGCCCGCGGCGCAUUAGCUAGUUGGUGAGGUAAUGGCUCACCAAGGCGACGAUGCGUAGCCGACCUGAGAGGGUGAUCGGCCACAUUGGAACUGAGACACGGUCCAGACUCCUACGGGAGGCAGCAGUGGGGAAUAUUGCGCAAUGGGGGAAACCCUGACGCAGCAACGCCGCGUGAGCGAUGAAGGCCUUCGGGUUGUAAAGCUCUGUCUUUGGGGACGAUAAUGACGGUACCCAAGGAGGAAGCCACGGCUAACUACGUGCCAGCAGCCGCGGUAAUAC
rnacentral:rRNA from 1 species